rfam:Phormidium ambiguum IAM M-71 NIES-2119_Scaffold_18, whole genome shotgun sequence.
GGAGAGGUGGCAGAGUGGUUGAAUGCGGCGGACUCGAAAUUCGCUAUGGCGGCAACGUCAUCGUGGGUUCAAAUCCCACCCUCUCCG